CUACGGGGGGCUGCAGUGGGGAAUAUUGCACAAUGGAGGAAACUCUGAUGCAGCAACGCCGCGUGGAGGAUGACACUUUUCGGAGCGUAAACUCCUUUUAUAUAGGAAGAAGAUGGCGGUACUAUAUGAAUAAGCGCCGGCUAACUCCGUGCCAGCAGCCGCGGUAAUACGGAGGGCGCAAGCGUUACUCGGAAUCACUGGGCGUAAAGAGCGUGUAGGCGGAUUAAAAAGUCAGAAGUGAAAUCCUAUAGCUUAACUAUAGAACUGCUUCUGAAACUCUUAAUCUAGAAUGUGGGAGAGGUAGAUGGAAUUUCUGGUGUAGGGGUAAAAUCCGUAGAGAUCAGAAGGAAUACCGAUUGCGAAGGCGUUCUACUAGAACAUUAUUGACGCUGAGGUGCGAAAGCGUGGGGAGCAAACAGGAUUAGAUACCCCUGUAGUC
rnacentral:rRNA from 1 species